rfam:Schistosoma haematobium scaffold2567_1, whole genome shotgun sequence.
GGCCUCUCUCCAUCCGUGUCGAGAUUCCGUCAAACACUAACCCACUAGUGUUGAUGAGACUUUCAAGUGAAGUGAAGUG